AGUGAACGCUGGCGGUAGGCCUAACACAUGCAAGUCGAACGGCAGCACAGUAAGAGCUUGCUCUUACGGGUGGCGAGUGGCGGACGGGUGAGGAAUACAUCGGAAUCUACUUUUUCGUGGGGGAUAACGUAGGGAAACUUACGCUAAUACCGCAUACGACCUACGGGUGAAAGCAGGGGAUCUUCGGACCUUGCGCGAUUGAAUGCGCCGAUGUCGGAUUAGCUAGUUGGCGGGGUAAAGGCCCACCAAGGCGACGAUCCGUAGCCGGUCGGGGAGGAUGGUCAGCCACACUGGAACUGAGACACGGUCCAGACUCCUACGGGAGGCAGCAGUGGGGAAUAUUGGACAAUGGGCGCAAGCCUGAUCCAGCCAUACCGCGUGGGUGAAGAAGACGUUCGGGUUGUAAAGCCCUUUUGUUGGGAAAGAAAAGCAGCAGGUUAAUACCCCGCUGUUCUGACGGUACCCAAAGAAUAAGCACCGGCUAACUUCGUG
rnacentral:rRNA from 1 species